UAACCACACUUGAUCAUGCAAGACCAGGCAGGCUCCGACAUCAGGGUUUACAAAAGGAAUCAUACCUUUCUAGACCUUAAGUCACAGGGAAUUCCUGAUUACAACUGGAAGAUCAACAGUUGGCUGGGUAACACGUUCAUUUAUGUCAUAAAUAGUCUUAGGCAUCUUAGCCUAAGACUUUGUGUAGGGAGAGCAAGGGUGAAGUGUAUGAAAAUAUUUGAAGUAAGUCACUUUACAGCGUUUUAAAGGCGGAAAGAAGUAAAAGCCUUGCCAGGAUCCAUCCUAGGCUGGGUCCUCUAGGCCUCGAUCAGGAGCGAUCCACUCUGCAUCCUCCACCUGGACCCCUCCGAGGCCUUUUCUGUAACUUGCGCUUUCCUGAGCUGCCUCGCAAGCAGCGACCACCUCUCCCUGGUCUCUCAUCAAAGUCAUCCUCCCAGAAACCGGGUUCCUGCCCUGUACUGUGUUCCCAUGGCAACCUGAGCUUACUACCCGCUGCUGGCAUCACCCCCUCUCCACCGCAGCCCCCUGCCGGGCGAGCCUGUCUGAUUCACCCCGGUCCCCGGUGCCCAGCACGGGGCCUGGGACGCAGGGAGCGCUGAAAGGAUGGAGAAAUUCACGUCUCCGUGGUGUGAGAAACAGAGAUCGUAUCACCUGCCAGCGUAGCCCAGGGAAAGAAAAGCUGAGUCUGCAAACAGGGCCAGCAGAAGGUGCAAACUGCUGCCCCUAUUCUGUUACUGUCUCCACCCAGAGCCCCAGUGACAAAAAGCAAGAGAAGCUGAGCUUAACCAUACCAGAAUUCACGGCAGGGCGAUGUCAGCCCUGUUUCCGAGCCUGUCGACCACCGCCACCAGCAUCACCACCAUCUACCUGUAGUUACAGAUUUUAGUGAAGAGAUCCUACAGUAAAAGAUUUUGAAAAAUGACUUUCCCCAAUGUGUCUCUUGAAUAAAUACGGAUAUUCCUGUGCCUUA